rnacentral:rRNA from 1 species
CCGUAGCCCAAGAGAUCGGGAUAACACCUGGAAACAGAUGCUAAUACCGGAUAACAACAGAUGAUGCCUAUCAACUGUUUAAAAGAUGGUUCUGCUAUCACUCUUGGAUGGACCUGCGGUGCAUUAGCUAGUUGGUAGGGUAACGGCCUACCAAGGCGAUGAUGCAUAGCCGAGUUGAGAGACUGAUAGGCCACAUUGGGACUGAGACACGGCCCAAACUCCUACGGGAGGCAGCAGCG